AGUUGUUGCAGUUAAAAAGCUCGUAGUUGGAUUUCGGAAUGGGCCAGUUGGUCCGCCGCAAGGUGAGUUACUGACUGGUUUGUUCUUCUUCGCAAAGACUGCGUGUGCUCUUUACUGAGUGUACGUAGGAUUUACGACGUUUACUUUGAAAAAAUUAGAGUGUUCAAAGCAGGCUAUCGCUUGAAUACAUGAGCAUGGAAUAAUGGAAUAGGACUUUGGUUCUAUUUUGUUGGUUUCUAGGACCGAAGUAAUGAUUAAGAGGGACAAUUGGGGGCAUCCGUAUUUCGUUGUCAGAGGUGAAAUUCUUGGAUUUACGAAAGACGAACAACUGCGAAAGCACUUGCCAAGAGUGUUUUCAUUAAUCAAGAACGAAAGUUAGAGGAUCGAAGACGAUCAGAUACCGUCCUAGUUCUAACCAUAAACGAUGUCGACUAGGGAUCAGCGGGCGUUAUCGUACGACCCCGUUGGCACCUUACGGGAAACCAAAGUUUUUGGAUUCCGGGGGAAGUAUGGUUGCAAAGCUGAAACUUAAAGGAAUUGACGGAAGGGCACCACCAGGAGUGGAGCCUGCGGCUUAAUUUGACUCAACACGGGGAAAACUCACCAGGUCCAGACAUAGUAAGGAUUGACAGGUUGAGAGCCCUUUCUUGAUUCUAUGGGUGGUGGUGCAUGGCCGUUCUUAGUUGGUGGAGUGAUUUGUC
rnacentral:rRNA from 1 species